AGCUCCAAAAGUGUAUAUUUAAGUUGUUGCGGUUGAAAAGCUCGUAGUUGGAUGUAGGGACUGUCGUCGCGGUCGGUCGAAAGGCCAGCACUGCGUCUGCAGUUCUAAUCUGUCGGCUCCUUCGCGGUGCUCUUAACUGAGCGUUGCGGUGGUCCGACGAGUUUACCUUGAAAAAAUUAGAGUGUUCAAAGCAGGCUUCACGCUUGUAUAAUGUUGCAUGGAAUAAUGGAAUAGGACCUCGGUUCUAUUUUGUUGGUUUUCGGAGCACGAGGUAAUGAUUAAUAGGAACGGACGGGGGCAUCCGUACUGUGCCGUUAGAGGUGAAAUUCUUGGAUCGGCGCAAGACGAACGACUGCGAAAGCAUUUGCCAAGAAUGUUUUCU
rnacentral:rRNA from 1 species